GUCCCAUUGGCGGAGUGGUCCAACGCGUUUGUCAAGUAAAGACUUAUUCCCUUUCAGGGAGCGCAGGUUCGAAUCCUGUGUGGGACG